UGUAGCAACGCAGCGGGUAUUUUUUUUGGAAAUGUAAAAAAUACGGGAGAUUUACAGGGAUAUAUGUUAACUAGAUGACACCUGGAGAGAACAGUGAAAUACAAGAGGAGCUCGGGGAAAACGGUAGGGUUGACAGGCAUUACACUUGCUCAGCGCAGUGAGUGAAGGAGAGUCUGACGGUGGGGGCGAUGAGCGAUGUGUCCUGGGUUGACACUGCAUCUGACGGGUCAAUAUCUAACAGCGAUCCACCUGAAUGAAGGUCGCAGGGGGCUGGAGCCAAUCCCAGCUUACAACAGGCAAAAGGCGGGGUACACCUAAGGACAAUUUUGGAGACACCAAUUCACCUAGCCGGCGUGUAUUUGGUCGGUGGGAGGAAGCCGGAGCAGAACCCACGCAGACACGGGGAGAACAUGCAAACUCCACACAGACCAACCAGGGUUUGAACCCACAACCUUGCUGUGGUUAGCACUGUUGCUGUGAGGCAACAGUGCUAACCACUGCACCACUGCACCGUGACCAUUAGUGACCAUUGUGACUGUGAGGGAUGUUCACAAUAAUUCCUGAGAAAGAUGUUUAGUAUACAAUAAUUUAAUUCUCAUUUGCUCACAUGCUGUAUGUAAAGAAUUUGGCUGGAUAUUCAUAAUUUCGUCUUUGCAGUUGCCACAAAUGAAAGUUAGACAUAUAUAUAUAUAUAUAAUAACUCGCCUCCAGUCGCAAUGCAAGGGGGGAAAACACUGUUAUAGACCGAUCUGACGUGAGAACAAUCUCAGAAUUCAGUGUUUAAUACUUUAUUAAACAGAUUUUAUUAUAACAGAUUUAUACAUUAAAGGAAGGAAGAUGAUUGAUGAUGACAGUUAAUCAGGCCAAAAGACACAUGCUAUUCAUCUCUGUGUGUAUUUAACCUUGAGAUGCUGUAGCUCAAUUCAGACUUGACUGACAUGAUAAAUUGUCAUCACAUGUACAAUGGAGGUGCAUGUCUGAAAGUGAAAACCACACCUACUGACUCUUAAGUCAUGUUGGCAACUCAUUUUUGAGAACAGCAACUAUUAACUGUAAAAU